rnacentral:rRNA from 1 species
AUGAACGCUAGCUACAGGCUUAACACAUGCAAGUCGAGGGGCAUCAGGAAGAAAGCUUGCUUUCUUUGCUGGCGACCGGCGCACGGGUGAGUAACACGUAUCCAACCUGCCCUUUACUCGGGGAUAGCCUUUCGAAAGAAAGAUUAAUACCCGAUGGCAUAAUGAUUCCGCAUGGUUUCAUUAUUAAAGGAUUCCGGUAAAGGAUGGGGAUGCGUUCCAUUAGGUUGUUGGUGAGGUAACGGCUCACCAAGCCUUCGAUGGAUAGGGGUUCUGAGAGGAAGGUCCCCCACAUUGGAACUGAGACACGGUCCAAACUCCUACGGGAGGCAGCAGUGAGGAAUAUUGGUCAAUGGGCGCUAGCCUGAACCAGCCAAGUAGCGUGAAGGAUGAAGGCUCUAUGGGUCGUAAACUUCUUUUAUAUAAGAAUAAAGUGCAGUAUGUAUACUGUUUUGUAUGUAUUGUAUGAAUAAGGAUCGGCUAACUCCGUGCCAGCAGCCGCGGUAAUACGGAGGAUCCGAGCGUUAUCCGGAUUUAUUGGGUUUAAAGGGAGCGUAGGUGGACUGGUAAGUCAGUUGUGAAAGUUUGCGGCUCAACCGUAAAAUUGCAGUUGAUACUGUCAGUCUUGAGUACAGUAGAGGUGGGCGGAAUUCGUGGUGUAGCGGUGAAAUGCUUAGAUAUCACGAAGAACUCCGAUUGCGAAGGCAGCUCACUGGACUGCAACUGACACUGAUGCUCGAAAGUGUGGGUAUCAAACAGGAUUAGAUACCCUGGUAGUCCACACAGUAAACGAUGAAUACUCCCUGUUUGCGAUAUACAGUAAGCGGCCAAGCGAAAGCAUUAAGUAUUCCACCUGGGGAGUACGCCGGCAACGGUGAAACUCAAAGGAAUUGACGGGGGCCCGCACAAGCGGAGGAACAUGUGGUUUAAUUCGAUGAUACGCGAGGAACCUUACCCGGGCUUAAAUUGCAGUGGAAUGAUGUGGAAACAUGUCAGUGAGCAAUCACCGCUGUGAAGGUGCUGCAUGGUUGUCGUCAGCUCGUGCCGUGAGGUGUCGGCUUAAGUGCCAUAACGAGCGCAACCCUUAUCUUUAGUUACUAACAGGUCAUGCUGAGGACUCUAGAGAGACUGCCGUCGUAAGAUGUGAGGAAGGUGGGGAUGACGUCAAAUCAGCACGGCCCUUACGUCCGGGGCUACACACGUGUUACAAUGGGGGGUACAGAAGGCAGCUAGCGGGUGACCGUAUGCUAAUCCCAAAAUCCUCUCUCAGUUCGGAUCGAAGUCUGCAACCCGACUUCGUGAAGCUGGAUUCGCUAGUAAUCGCGCAUCAGCCACGGCGCGGUGAAUACGUUCCCGGGCCUUGUACACACCGCCCGUCAAGCCAUGGGAGCCGGGGGUACCUGAAGUACGUAACCGCAAGGAUCGUCCUAGGGUAAAACUGGUGACUGGGGCU